rnacentral:rRNA from 1 species
GGGGAAUUUUCCGCAAUGGGCGCAAGUCUGACGGAGCGACGCCGCGUGCGGGAUGAAGGCCCUCGGGUUGUAAACCGCUGUCAGAGGGGAGGAAAUUUUGACCGAUCCUCAGAGGAAGCGCAGGCUAAGUUCGUGCCAGCAGCCGCGGUAACACGAACUGCGCGAACGUUAUUCGGAAUCACUGGGCUUAAAGAGUUCGUAGGCGGCUUGGUCAGUCAGAUGUGAAAUCCCACAGCCCAACUGUGGAACUGCGUUUGAUACUGCCAAGCUUGAGGGAGUUAGAGGAAAGCGGAACUGAUGGUGGAGCGGUGAAAUGCGUUGAUAUCAUCAGGAACACCGGUGGCGAAAGCGGCUUUCUGGAGCUCUUCUGACGCUGAGGAACGAAAGCUAGGGGAGCGAAAGGGAUUAGAUACCCCUGUAGU